rnacentral:rRNA from 1 species
UACGUAGGUGGCAAGCGUUGUCCGGAUUUACUGGGCGUAAAGAGCGCGCAGGCGGUCGGAUAAGUCGAAUGUGAAAGCCCCCGGCUCAACUGGGGAGGGUCAUUCGAUACUGUUCGACUCGAAGGCAGGAGAGGGAAGUGGAAUUCCCGGUGUAGUGGUGAAAUGCGUAGAUAUCGGGAGCAACACCAGUGGCGAAGGCGACUUCCUGGCCUGUUCUUGACGCUGAGGCGCGAAAGCUAGGGGAGCAAACGGG